CCUACGGGGGGCAGCAGUGGGGAAUAUUGGACAAUGGGCGAAAGCCUGAUCCAGCCAUGCCGCGUGUGUGAAGAAGGCCUUCGGGUUGUAAAGCACUUUCAGUGGGGAAGAAAGCCUUGGGGCUAAUACCCUCGAGGAAGGACAUCACCCACAGAAGAAGCACCGGCUAACUCCGUGCCAGCAGCCGCGGUAAUACGGAGGGUGCGAGCGUUAAUCGGAAUUACUGGGCGUAAAGCGCGCGUAGGCGGUCUGAUAAGCCGGUUGUGAAAGCCCCGGGCUCAACCUGGGAACGGCAUCCGGAACUGUCAGGCUAGAGUGCAGGAGAGGAAGGUAGAAUUCCCGGUGAAGCGGUGAAAUGCGUAGAGAUCGGGAGGAAUACCAGUGGCGAAGGCGGCCUUCUGGACUGACACUGACGCUGAGGUGCGAAAGCGUGGGUAGCAAACAGGAUUAGAUACCCUAGUAGUC
rnacentral:rRNA from 1 species